CAGCAGCCACGGUAAUACGUAGGGCGCAAGCGUUAUCCGGAAUUAUUGGGCGUAAAGAGCUCGUAGGCGGUUUGUCGCGUCUGCCGUGAAAGUCCGGGGCUCAACCCCGGAUCUGCGGUGGGUACGGGCAGACUAGAGUGAUGUAGGGGAGACUGGAAUUCCUGGUGUAGCGGUGAAAUGCGCAGAUAUCAGGAGGAACACCGAUGGCGAAGGCAGGUCUCUGGGCAUUAACUGACGCUGAGGAGCGAAAGAAUGGGGAGCGAACAGGAUUAGAUACCCGCGUAGUCCCUGUCUCUUAUAC
rnacentral:rRNA from 1 species